rnacentral:rRNA from 1 species
CCUACGGGGCGCUGCAGUGGGGAAUAUUGGACAAUGGGCGAAAGCCUGAUCCAGCCAUGCCGCGUGUGUGAAGAAGGCCUUCGGGUUGUAAAGCACUUUCAGUGGGGAAGAAAGCCUUGGGGCUAAUACCCUCGAGGAAGGACAUCACCCACAGAAGAAGCACCGGCUAACUCCGUGCCAGCAGCCGCGGUAAUACGGAGGGUGCGAGUGUUAAUCGGAAUUACUGGGCGUAAAGCGCGCGUAGGCGGUCUGAUAAGCCGGUUGUGAAAGCCCCGGGCUCAACCUGGGAACGGCAUCCGGAACUGUCAGGCUAGAGUGCAGGAGAGGAAGGUAGAAUUCCCGGUGUAGCGGUGAAAUGCGUAGAGAUCGGGAGGAAUACCAGUGGCGAAGGCGGCCUUCUGGACUGACACUGACGCUGAGGUGCGAAAGCGUGGGUAGCAAACAGGAUUAGAUACCCCAGUAGUC